rnacentral:tRNA from 2 species
GGCCGAGUAGCCAAGUGGACUAAGGCAACGGAUUGCAAAUCCGUCAUUCGUGGGUUCGAAUCCCACCUCGGCCU